UAUACAAACAACCAUGUGUUCCACCGGCGUCACUGUAGGCUUCCUUCCAUGCCUACGGUUAGAUGCUUGAAUUUCUUUGGUGGCAUUCUGUCGACACAUGGAAGAUUGAUUUUAGGUAAGAUGUAUCUCCAGCUAUUGAACGCGGGAAAGCCUUUCUCUUUCCUGCCCCAAAAACUGAUAUAGUUGGUCAUAAUUCUUGCAACAUCA
rnacentral:snoRNA from 1 species